UGAUCCUGGCUCAGGACGAACGCUGGCGGCGCGCCUAACACAUGCAAGUCGAACGGUGAAGAGGAGCUUGCUCCUCGGAACAGUGGCGGACGGGUGAGUAACACGUGAGCAACCUGGCUCUAAGAGGGGGACAACAGUUGGAAACGACUGCUAAUACCGCAUAACGUAUCGGGAUGGCAUCUUCCUGAUACCAAAGAUUUUAUCGCUUAGAGAUGGGCUCGCGUCUGAUUAGAUAGUUGGCGGGGUAACGGCCCACCAAGUCGACGAUCAGUAGCCGGACUGAGAGGUUGAACGGCCACAUUGGGACUGAGACACGGCCCAGACUCCUACGGGAGGCAGCAGUGGGGAAUAUUGGGCAAUGGGCGCAAGCCUGACCCAGCAACGCCGCGUGAAGGAAGAAGGCUUUCGGGUUGUAAACUUCUUUUGUCAGGGACGAGCAGAAGACGGUACCUGACGAAUAAGCCACGGCUAACUACGUGCCAGCAGCCGCGGUAAUACGUAGGUGGCAAGCGUUGUCCGGAAUUACUGGGUGUAAAGGGAGUGUAGGCGGGAUAUCAAGUCAGAAGUGAAAAUUACGGGCUCAACUCGUAACCUGCUUUUGAAACUGACAUUCUUGAGUGAAGUAGAGGCAAGCGGAAUUCCUAGUGUAGCGGUGAAAUGCGUAGAUAUUAGGAGGAACACCAGUGGCGAAGGCGGCUUGCUGGGCUUUUACUGACGCUGAGGCUCGAAAGCGUGGGGAGCAAACAGGAUUAGAUACCCUGGUAGUCCACGCCGUAAACGAUGAUUACUAGGUGUGGGGGGAUUGACCCCUUCCGUGCCGGAGUAAACACAAUAAGUAAUCCACCUGGGGAGUACGACCGCAAGGUUGAAACUCAAAGGAAUUGACGGGGGCCCGCACAAGCAGUGGAGUAU
rnacentral:rRNA from 1 species